rnacentral:rRNA from 1 species
GGAAGAGGGGACGACGUCAAGUCAUCAUGAUGCUUAUAUCCGGGGCUACACACAUCCUACAAUGGGUGGUACAGAGGGUCGCAAUACCGCGAGGUGGAGCUAAUCCUUAAAACCUCCCUCAGUUGGGAUUGCAGGCUGAAACUCGCCUGCAUGAACUUGGAAUUGGUGUAAUCGCAAAUCAGCAGAUUGCGGUGAAUACGUUCUCGCCUCUU